UACUGCCUGAUGGAGGGGGAUAACUACUGGAAACGGUAGCUAAUACCGCAUAACGUCGCAAGACCAAAGAGGGGGACCUUCGGGCCUCUUGCCAUCGGAUGUGCCCAGAUGGGAUUAGCUAGUAGGUGGGGUAACGGCUCACCUAGGCGACGAUCCCUAGCUGGUCUGAGAGGAUGACCAGCCACACUGGAACUGAGACACGGUCCAGACUCCUACGGGAGGCAGCAGUGGGGAAUAUUGCACAAUGGGCGCAAGCCUGAUGCAGCCAUGCCGCGUGUAUGAAGAAGGCCUUCGGGUUGUAAAGUACUUUCAGCGGGGAGGAAGGGAGUAAAGUUAAUACCUUUGCUCAUUGACGUUA
rnacentral:rRNA from 1 species